UAACUCCGGCUCCCUUUCAAAUCGAAAAAAUCUUUCGCCUUUUACUAAAGAUUUCCGUGGGAAGGAGCACUUAUAGGAGUCUAGAUAAUAAUUUUUAUAUUGCCUGAUCAUUCAAUCGGGCAU